AGCAGCCGCGGUAAUUCCAGCUCCAAUAGCGUAUAUUAAAGUUGUUGCAGUUAAAAAGCUCGUAGUUGAAUUUCGGGGUCUGUCCAUCGGUCGGGCUUCACGGUCCGUACUGGUGAGAUGGGUUCCUACCUUCCGAAUAACCGGCAUGCCAUUCAGUUGGUGCGCCGGGGAAGCAGAGCUAUUACCUUGAAAAAUUAGAGUGCUUAAAGCAGGCUAUUGCUUGAAUAGAUUAGCAUGGAAUAAUAAAUAGGACGGCAUGGUUCUACUUUGUUGGUUUCUAGGAUCACCGUAAUGAUUAAUAGGGAUAGUUGGGGGCAUUAGUAUUCAAUUGUCAGAGGUGAAAUUCUUGGAUUUAUUGAAGACUAACUUCUGCGAAAGCAGUUUGCCAAGGAUGUUUUCAUUAAUCAAGAACGAAAGUUAGGGGAUCGAAGACGAUCAGAUACCGUCGUAGUCUUAACCAUAAACUAUGCCGACUAGGGAUCGGACGAUGUUAAUUUUUAAUGACUCGUUCGCGCCUUAC
rnacentral:misc_RNA from 1 species